rnacentral:rRNA from 1 species
AGUGAACGCUGGCGGCGUGCCUAAUACAUGCAAGUCGAACGAAGUGGCGCGCGGGUGAGUAAUAUAUAGUUAAUAUGCCCUACACAGAGGAACAACAGUUGGAAACGACUGCUAAUACCUCAUAGUGUAGGAUGAGACUAUAUCGUAUCAGCUAGUUGGUAAGGUAAUGGCUUCUCAAGGCUAUGACGCGUAACUGUUCCGAGAGGAUGAGCAGUAACAUUCUACGGGAGACACGGUGCGACAUCCUUCGGGAAUCAGCGAUAGGGGAUAUUGCGCAAUGGGCGUAAGUCUGACGGAUCAUCGCCGCGUGAAGGAUGAUACUUUUGGGAGCGGAAACUCCUUUUAUCAGGAACGCGGUACCUGAUGAAAAAGCACCGGCUAACUCCGUGCCAGCAGCCGCGGUAAUAC